UAAAACAUGCACACACACGUGAAUGUUGGAAGAUCAUCGUACUCGGCUCCAAAUCGAACAAACUCUGUGGAGAAAGGAAGUAUUUCAUGAGUAGCAGCCAUGAGAAUUGCACUUCCAAGUGUACCAACAACUGCAACUACCCUCAGGAUGAAGUCUAUUAUAGACACUUGGGUUGGAAAUUGAACCCUUGGCCUGACCCUCCAUUUCCAUCAUGCUUAGAAUCAAG
rnacentral:misc_RNA from 1 species